rnacentral:rRNA from 1 species
UACGAAGGGGGCUAGCGUUGCUCGGAAUUACUGGGCGUAAAGGGAGCGUAGGCGGAUAGUUUAGUCAGAGGUGAAAUCCCGGGGCUCAACCUCGGAACUGCCUUUGAUACUGGCUAUCUUGAGUAUGGGAGAGGUGUGUGGAACUCCGAGUGUAGAGGUGAAAUUCGUAGAUAUUCGGAAGAACACCAGUGGCGAAGGCGACACACUGGCCCAUUACUGACGCUGAGGCUCGAAAGCGUGGGGGAGCAAACAGG